UACGUAGGCAGCAAGCGUUGUUCGGAAUUACUGGGCGUAAAGAGUGUGUAGGCGGUGUUCUAAGUCUGUUGUGAAAUCUCCCGGCUUAACUGGGAGGGUGCGGCGGAAACUGGAAUGCUAGAGGAUGGGAGAGGUAAGCGGAAUUCCAGGUGUAGCGGUGAAAUGCGUAGAUAUCUGGAGGAACAUCAGUGGCGAAGGCGGCUUCCUGGUCCAACACUGACACUGAGGUGCGAAAGCGUGGGGAGCAAACAGG
rnacentral:rRNA from 1 species